rnacentral:rRNA from 1 species
UACGAAGGGGGCUAGCGUUGUUCGGAAUUACUGGGCGUAAAGGGCGCGCAGGCGGUCGCUCAAGUCAGGCGUGAAAGCCCCGGGCUCAACCUGGGAAUAGCGCUUGAGACUGAGCGACUUGAGUUCGGGAGAGGAGAGCGGAAUUCCCAGUGUAGAGGUGAAAUUCGUAGAUAUUGGGAAGAACACCGGUGGCGAAGGCGGCUCUCUGGACCGACACUGACGCUGAGGCGCGAAAGCUAGGGGAGCAAACGGG